UAUUGCUGUUGAUCCAUGGCAUUGUAAUGGCACCUUUUUUCCUUAGCUAUAGGGAUGAUAUUGCAAGAGAUCAAGAGUUCCAGUGGCUGCCUGCCUCCCUACCAGAUCUUGUCGGCUCCUCAGGCUCUGCCGGGCACCAGAAGCUGAAGCAGGAUUAUGGAACUCCUAAGCCCUACAGCUUUUCUCCUCCCAGGCUUGCAACGGGACAAUGAAAAUCCUCAAACCUUACCCAUAAACUUAAUGGAGCCCUGGGGCCAUGUGAG
rnacentral:lncRNA from 1 species